CCCAGAUAAAAAAAAAAGUUUUUAAAGGGUCGUAAAAUUAACUACUCUUAUGACGUCUGGCACAUGGCGAAAGGAUUGACAAAGAAGAUGUAGAAAAUGUCCAGAGAGAAGGACUGUAGUUUGGUGAAGAAGUGGCAUAAGAGCAUCCCCCAGCACCUGUACUGGUCUGCCAGCAGCUCUGAUUCAGGACCUGAGAAGGGAACCAGAUGGACCUCCAUCAUGAACCACAUUCAAGACAAUCACACACAUUCUGACCCAGCGUCCCCUCGGUGUCAACAUGAACAUAGGUUGUAUCUUGUAAAGAUGACUUCAGUGAGAAUGCUGUGUACAAGCUUCUCUUUCCAGAGGGAGGACACACCGUCAAACCAGCUGUGUCAUCAACUUGAUGAAUACUGUUUUUGAAGAAGUUGUCCGUGAUCCUCUUCCAUAUCUGGAUGGCAUACAGCAGAUUCCUGUGCCUCCGGACCGGUCUUCUCAGCAUGACAGACCUUCCAUGGAAGAAGCUGUUGC